rnacentral:miRNA from 1 species
CGACACUUUCCGGUUUUGCGAA